rnacentral:rRNA from 1 species
GACGGAGGAUGCAAGCGUUAUCCGGAAUUAUUGGGCGUAAAGCGUCCGCAGGUGGCAGUUCAAGUCUGCUGUCAAAGACCGGGGCUUAACUUCGGAAAGGCAGUGGAAACUGAACAGCUAGAGUAUGGUAGGGGCAGAGGGAAUUCCUGGUGUAGCGGUGAAAUGCGUGGAUAUCAGGAAGAACAUCGGUGGCGAAGGCGCUCUGCUGGACCAUAACUGACACUCAGGGACGAAAGCUAGGGGAGCGAAUGGG